rnacentral:other from 1 species
ACCCGCCUGCGAUGUGCGUGAUUACUGGUUAAUAUAAUCCAACACUUAUAUUUCGGGAGUCCCGACUCCGAAGGACGAUUGCAGACCUCCCGGCCCCGGCCGGACGAAGGGAGCGUGAAGCCCAGGGCGGACACCCACCUGUCGCAAGACGGGUUUUAUCAUCCAGUGUAACGGCAUUGCGGGUUUUUA